UGUGGAGUAGAGAAGCGGUCAUCUCACUGGGCUCAUAAUCCAGAGAACGUAGGUUCAAAUCCUGCCUCCGCAU
rnacentral:tRNA from 1 species